CAUGAUCAAGGAUGAAACCCUUUCUAUUAGUGACUGCUGGAUGAAGCUUGCGGAUAUGGGACUGAGAUCAAAA